rnacentral:rRNA from 1 species
AUACGGAGGGGGCUAGCGUUGUUCGGAAUUACUGGGCGUAAAGCGUACGUAGGCGGACUGAUCAGUUGGGGGUGAAAUCCCAGGGCUUAACCCUGGAACUGCCUUCAAUACUGUCAGUCUUGAGUUUGGGAGAGGUGAGUGGAAUUCCUAGUGUAGCGGUGAAAUUCAUAGAUAUUAGGAGGAACACCAGUGGCGAAGGCGGCUCACUGGCCCAUUACUGACGCUGAGGUACGAAAGCGUGGGGAGCAAACAGGAUUAGAAACCCUAGUAGUCC